CCCUACCACCGCCUUUGCCACCACCACCUUCUUGACUACCCCUUUAAGAGCAAUAACUUAUUUUUCGCAAACCUGUGGGAUCCGGACUAGCAAUGGAUACAGCAUGGUAUGUGAUGGGGUCAAGGUCGCAUCCCUCAACUGCAAGGUGAUUGUUAUCAAAUAUCACAAUUGACCAUUCAAAAUGAUGACAUAAAAAAAUCGAAUUUAAGGUAAAGUAAAAAUAAUAAUAGCCUACUAUUGUUAUGAUUGGCUAUUAUUAGCCUAUUUAUUAUAACAUUCAUAUGAUUAUGAGGAAUAUUAGGGCUUUAAUGUUGCCAUUGUUUUUCUCAUUAUUAUUGUUAUAACCUAAUGCUGAAUUACGAGAAAGAUAUGCCCUGAUUUUAACUCUCUAUAUUCUAUUACAGAUAGGCCUAACUCAGAAGAUGAUUAUUUACAAUUGAUGCAAUGGAUGUCUUAUCUGGCAUUGUGUUCAAAUGUAGGUUAAUCAAAUGCCAACUUUUUCCAGGGGUCAUUAUUGACUUCGCUUAUUCAGAUGCAUAAAUUGGAGUUGCAUGUACGAUAGCUCUCCGUAUGAAAACAUAACGUUGCACACACAUGCUUUGCCUGCGAGCAAGCCACACGAAAACGGCAGCUGUUGACGCAUGCAGCAGCCUACUCUCAACAGACGAGACGACGAGUAGGCUACAGAACCGGGCUAGUUUUCAUUCAUUGUAUUUCUAUAGGAAGCAUGUAUAAGUAAGUUAAGGUUGUUCUACUUGAAAAUAUGCCUUAUUUCUGCACCCCUAUCAUCUCUGUGAACUAUGGUGCGAUGUAAUGAAUGCAAACAUCCCAUCGCCAUUUUUGGCACAAGGGCUCCAGGUAAAACCAGCGAGGAGGAGAAAUAGAUUGUGAAUUUCUAAUUUAAACAACAGUGAGACUGACUAACACAGAAGGCAGCACUGGACAGCCAUGCAGGCGAAGGAAUCAUCUUUUAUGCAGCGAUGGUGAAAUGGACAAACGCACACAUCAGCUGUUGCUUCAUUGAAUAAUAAAAUUGCCAUGCAAUCAUA